CGAAUCCGUGCGGGAGAGUUCCGGACCAGCCUCAGACGCUGGGCCGGGCGCCGAAGGAGCAAGUCCCUCCCUUGAAUCUCUCAGGCCCCGCACCGCACGGGUGAG
rnacentral:ncRNA from 2 species